AUUGAACGCUGGCGGAAUGCUUUACACAUGCAAGUCGAACGGCAGCACGGGGGCAACCUGGUGGCGAGUGGCGAACGGGUGAGUAAUACAUCGGAACGUGCCCAGUCGUGGGGGAUAACGUAGCGAAAGUUACGCUAAUACCGCAUACGAUCUACGGAUGAAAGCGGGGGACCGUAAGGCCUCGCGCGAUUGGAGCGGCCGAUGUCAGAUUAGGUAGUUGGUGAGGUAAAGGCUCACCAAGCCGACGAUCUGUAGCUGGUCUGAGAGGACGACCAGACACACUGGGACUGAGACACGGCCCAGACUCCUACGGGAGGCAGCAGUGGGGAAUUUUGGACAAUGGGCGCAAGCCUGAUCCAGCCAUUCCGCGUGCAGGACGAAGGCCUUCGGGUUGUAAACUGCUUUUGUACGGAACGAAAAGGCUCUGGUUAAUACCUGGGGCUCAUGACGGUACCGUAAGAAUAAGCACCGGCUAACUACGUGCCAGCCGCCGCGGUAA
rnacentral:rRNA from 1 species